GGGAAUGUGGCUUAGUGGUAGAGUGCUUGCCUAGCAUGCAUGAAGUCCUAUUCCAUUCCUC
rnacentral:tRNA from 1 species